rnacentral:tRNA from 1 species
GUUUGGUCUCUCAGUUGUGGGUUCAAGCCCCACUUUUCUA